GAUGAAGAACGCAGCGAAAUGCGAUAAGUAGUGUGAAUUGCAGAAUUCCGUGAAUCAUCGAAUCUUUGAACGCACAUUGCGCCUUCUGGUAUUCCGGAAGGCAUGCCUGUUCGAGAGUCAUUAACAACCGUUUCGAUCCCUUUCUUUCAGAAAUUACAAAGAGGAAAAGGGUUUGGUUAUGGUGGAGGAGGGAAAGGGAGCGUUUAGCCUGUAAAGAAAGAGGCUGUGUUCCGCCUCCCCCCCAAAAUUGUACAGGCGGUCGUGUGCGCCCACGCAUCGAGGUGUUGUAAAAGCUGCCACGGCACUUUUCACCUGUGCAGUGCGAGAUUGGCCAGCCGGUUUAAAAACCCCUCCAAACAAUCAAAGGUUGACCUCGGAUCAGGUAGGGAUACCCGCUGAACUUAAGCAUAUCAAUAGCGGAGGA
rnacentral:misc_RNA from 1 species